CUCAAAUGUGCGUUUUAGGUGAGAUCAAGCAUAGUAGCCGUUCAUAUCAGUUUAAUAUCUGAUAGUGGUCCAUCAGGCCACAUAAUAUUAGAAUAACUUACUGUGGGGGAUGGCCCAUCACAGUAGCUUGCUGCUAGGGCCACCGCAUGUGGCCCAUGCUUUCCACUACUGCAAGGGCCUGGUGCGCUCCU